rnacentral:lncRNA from 1 species
GCCCCCCUCCCAUUUCCUCCUCCCUCAAACCAUUGCAGCCACACCACCCUAAACCCUAGCCCCCCCCCUCUCUCCAAGGUGAAGCCCUCCCGCGUGGUUCUUCGUCGUGUGGCGAUCUCAAUUGGAGUUUGGAGGGAGGAAGAAGGAAGGAGGAAGGGAAGAAUCCAAGGUGAUUUUUGUGUUUAUCUCUUGUUCAUUUGUGCUGCAAUCCAAUUGAUUAGAUGUUGCGUAUGCGAUUUGGUAGAAGGGUUGUCCAGAAUUUUAGGGGGUGGACGAACAGCAGCAGUAUUAGUGGUUUCUGGGCAUUUUUCAUGGGAAAUUAAUGGGAAUCAGUUUGGGAAUCAUGUAGAACUUUGGAAUACCUUUCCAAAGAGUAUUUAUGCGCUCAAUUUGGAGUUAUAAAUUAAAAGAUAUCACCAUUUGAAUCCGGGUAUGUGGCUGUCCAAAAAAACAGAUUUUCAGGUGGACGAACAGCAGCAGUAUUAGCAGUUUCUGGGGAUUUUUCGUGAGUAAUUAGUGUUAAUCAGUAUGAGAAUCAUGUAGGGAUUUUUCUUACCUUUCCAACAAGUACUUAUGCGCUCGAUUCGGAAUUAUAUUUUAAAAGUUAUCACUGUUUGAAUCCGAGUAUGUCGCUGCCCAAAAGAGAAAAAAUAGAUUGCAGGGUUUAUCUUGUGGACCGUUUUGGGGUAGUUAGAUGUUGGAAUUUAAUCAUAAAUUUUAUACAAAACUUAUGGGGAAUUUUAUGUAGUUGUCUCUCGAGUUUUUGUUUGUCAUCACUGCUAUCUGAAUUUUAAAAUUAUGAAAUUGUUAAGCAGCGCCGCUGCAGUUUGGUGGGUGUGGGGAGAAUUGUUACCCACGACGGGGUUUGAGACUGCGCGUAGGUGCGGCGUUGUUUUUGAGGCUUAUUAUGUGAAUUUGGUGCACUAAGUUUGGUGUCAAAAAUAGGUGGUGGACUUCCGGAUCGUACUUAGCGAUUUGCCCAAACUUCCGGUGAAGGCAAGUAAAACAGUGAUGGUUAAUCCGUCUGUCGAAUGAAGAGUCUUAUACUUGAUUAUGUUGUGCUAUUGUGUUCGUAUUCAUAUUUAUAAUUGAGUACCAUCAUUUGAAGAUAUUCGUAUUUUAUUGAUUACAUAUGUUGAGUUUGUGGUUUGAUCACGUUACUCAAGUGGUUAUUAUAUGGAAUGGGUGGAAGUAUAUGUCUAGCAUAUUUUAUUUGGGAAGAACUCAUGUUGUUGUCAUGCAUAAUGCAUUCAUUAUUCAUUGCAUGGAAGUUCGUCGUGAUCUUAUGGUCCGACCGUACCGGUACAUUGAGCAUCAUAUGUGACCCGAGAAGGGGUAUGAUGCAGCUUCAUAUCCUCAGAGAUAUGAAGGCAGAAGUCAUUACUGCAUCUGUAGCCAUGUGCAUUCAUGGGAGAGGUGUGGAAUUUAUUAUGUGGAUGUGGAUAGUGUGGAUUUUUACAUUGUGAUUCUUCUUGGCGUUAAGUAAUUAGUUACUUGCUUACUUGCUGCAAAUUAUUAUUCAAGAAGGAAGUUUUGAACUACGUGGUUGUUUAAGCACAGUUGGAUUACAUUGUCCAAUUGUGGUUUGCUCUGUUUACUUGCUGAGAUGUGUCAUCUCACUCUUGCAUUGUUUAAUGCAGGCACCUCAUUUCUGCUUUGGGAAAAGAGGGAUGUAGCAGCACGGCCACUACACCUUUAAUAAAGGAACCACUGCUUAAUAAUGUUGUUAAUCAGGGAGGGUCAAGUCUAGGGAAUUAAUAUGUUCUAGCUUUUCAUGGUGGUUGAGCUGUUUUUGGGGGUGGGCUGAGUUACCUAUCCUUUUAUUUAGUCAUGAAUGUGUUUCACCACUUUUGCAUUUAGAUUCUACUACGUGAAUUAUCUGUCUUUUA